rnacentral:rRNA from 1 species
AUUGAACGCUGGCGGAAUGCUUUACACAUGCAAGUCGAACGGCAGCACGGGGCAACCUGGUGGCGAGUGGCGAACGGGUGAGUAAUACAUCGGAACGUGCCCAAUCGUGGGGGAUAACGUAGCGAAAGUUACGCUAAUACCGCAUACGAUCUACGGAUGAAAGCGGGGGAUCGCAAGACCUCGCGCGAGUGGAGCGGCCGAUGUCAGAUUAGGUAGUUGGUGGGGUAAAGGCUCACCAAGCCAACGAUCUGUAGCUGGUCUGAGAGGACGACCAGCCACACUGGAACUGAGGCACGGUCCAGACUCCUACGGGAGGCAGCAGUGGGGAAUUUUGGACAAUGGGCGCAAGCCUGAUCCAGCCAUUCCGCGUGCAGGAUGAAGGCCUUCGGGUUGUAAACUGCUUUUGUACGGAACGAAACGGCGAGCUCUAAUACAGUUUGCUAAUGACGGUACCGUAAGAAUAAGCACCGGCUAACUACGUG